UAUCCCACCAUGCUGGUUGGCUAAAAUCACUUCCUCCUAACUGCUUUUAGCUGACCAUACUUCCCCAACUGACUAUACACGAAACAAAAUGGAUAACAACUUUCCAGAAAUCGACGACAGUGACAUAGAAGUUAUAGAUGCAGUGUACGUUGUGCUCAUUUUCAUGAUGGUAUUUUUAUGACCAAAGGAACAACGGUGACUGGAACCAGGGACUAAAGGAAAAUACUUUAUACAUGGACAGUGUAAAACAAGAGCAGGAACAAGCAAAUGCUUUAAAUAAAAUUGCCAAUGAUGGAGACAAACUCCCAGAACCAAAAUAUGAUGAGAUGCACCC